rnacentral:rRNA from 1 species
AUCGAACGCUGGCGGCAGGCCUAACACAUGCAAGUCGAGCGGGGUUUUCGGACCUAGCGGCGGACGGGUGAGUAAUGCGUAGGAAGCUACCCGAUAGAGGGGGAUACCAGUUGGAAACGACUGUUAAUACCGCAUAAUGUCUACGGACCAAAGUGUGGGACCUUCGGGCCACAUGCUAUCGGAUGCGCCUACGUUGGAUUAGCUAGGUGGUGGGGUAAUGGCUCACCAAGGCGACGAUCCCUAGCUGGUUUGAGAGGAUGAUCAGCCACACUGGACCUGAGCCACGGCCCAGACUCCUACGGGAGGGAGGAGUGGGGAAUAUUGGACAAUGGGCGCAAGCCUGAUCCAGCCAUGCCGCGUGUGUGAAGAAGGCCUUCGGGUUGUAAAGCACUUUCAGUAGGGAGGAAGGGUGUUGUGUUAAUAGCACAGCAUUUUGACGUUACCUACAGAAGAAGCACCGGCUAACUCUGUGCCAGCCGCCGCCGUAACAC